AUUGAACGCUGGCGGCAUGCCUUACACAUGCAAGUCGAACGGUAACGCGGGGCAACCUGGCGACGAGUGGCGAACGGGUGAGUAAUGUAUCGGAACGUGCCCAGUUGUGGGGGAUAACUGCUCGAAAGAGCAGCUAAUACCGCAUACGACCUGAGGGAGAAAGCGGGGGAUCGCAAGACCUCGCGCAGUUGGAGCGGCCGAUAUCAGAUUAGGUAGUUGGUGGGGUAAAGGCUCACCAAGCCAACGAUCUGUCGCUGGUCCGAGAGGACGACCAGCCACACUGGGACUGAGACACGGCCCAGACUCCUACGGGAGGCAGCAGUGGGGAAUUUUGGACAAUGGGCGCAAGCCUGAUCCAGCCAUGCCGCGUGCGGGAAGAAGGCCUUCGGGUUGUAAACCGCUUUUGUCAGGGAAGAAAAGACUCCUGUUAAUACCGGGGGUUCAUGACGGUACCUGAAGAAUAAGCACCGGCUAACUACGUGCCAGCAGCCGCCGUAA
rnacentral:rRNA from 1 species